rnacentral:sRNA from 1 species
UAAGAUUUAGUGCUGCGUGCAUUUCUCC